rnacentral:lncRNA from 1 species
CUCCCAGACCUUCCUUCCCAAUUUCUUAAAGAAUGGUCUCGGUGCCAACUUAAAUAUUGCAUUUGGUUGGGAGAGGAGGAACCGCGAGCCCAGAAUGGAAGUCAAAUUAUUCCACAAAUAUUGCUUAUUUAAAUAACAUUUAAAAAAUACAUCAUGUUCAGUGGUGAAGAACUACUAAAUUAUUGAAUUCCCCAAAGCAUCCUAUAAGCUUUAAAGUGGCUUGAAGCCCUAUAAAAGAAUGUAAUAAAUAGACAAAAAGGAACGCCGGGCUCCAUGUCAGAAUGCCUGUAUGCGCCAACGCUAAACAUCUUCAUGUAAUCUUUCCACAAGAUUAAUGAAACAAGUAAAGUAAUCAAAUCUGUAUGGGUGUAUAAACGCAUGAUUCCAGACAAUAUUAGAACAAAUUGUCUAAAACUAAUAGCGAAUGCGUCAGUUCAGCUCCAACAGCUUUUGUUGGGCUCUCACUUGGAUGUAAUCAAAACAUUUGUUUAAACUAAGAUGGAUAUGAGGCGCUAAGAUGUCAGUUUUUUGAAAGAGAAAAAUAAAACAAAAGCAAUGUCUUUGGUGAGGAGAUUGGCACCGCCAAUAGGGCUGCAUUACUGAGGAAUCUG